GGGCCGUUAGCUUAGCUGGUAGAGCGCGUCAUUUGCAAUGACGAGGUCGCCGGUUCGAAUCCGGCACGGUCCACCG
rnacentral:tRNA from 2 species